UAGCUCAGUUGGUAAAGAAUCUGCCUGCAAUGCAGAAGACCCAGGUUCAGUUCCUGG
rnacentral:tRNA from 1 species